ACUCCUACGGGAGGCAGCAGUGGGGAAUUUUGGACAAUGGGGGCAACCCUGAUCCAGCAAUGCCGCGUGAGUGAAGAAGGCCCUCGGGUUGUAAAGCUCUUUUGUCAGGGAAGAAACGGUGAUCUCUAAUAUAGAUUGCUAAUGACGGUACCUGAAGAAUAAGCACCGGCUAACUACGUGCCAGCAGCCGCGGUAAUACGUAGGGGUGCAAGCGUUAAUCGGAAUUACUGGGCGUAAAGCGUGCGCAGGCGGUUUUGUAAGUCUGAUGUGAAAUCCCCGGGGCUCAACCUGGGAACUGCAUUGGAGACUGCAAGGCUAGAGUGUGUCAGAGGGGGUAGAAUUCCACGUGUAGCAGUGAAAUGCGUAGAGAUGUGGAGGAAUACCGAUGGCGAAGGCAGCCCCCUGGGAUAACACUGACGCUCAUGCACGAAAGCGUGGGGAGCAAACAGGAUUAGAUACCCUGGUAGCGACUGA
rnacentral:rRNA from 1 species